GACGAACGCUGGCGGCGUGCUUAACACAUGCAAGUCGAACGGUGAACGAGGGAGCUUGCUCCCUCCGGAUCAGUGGCGAACGGGUGAGUAACACGUGAGCAAUCUGCCCCGAACUCUGGGAUAAGCGCUGGAAACGGCGUCUAAUACCGGAUACGACGCGGGAGGGCAUCCUCUCCGCGUGGAAAGAACUUCGGUUCGGGAUGAGCUCGCGGCCUAUCAGCUUGUUGGUGAGGUAACGGCUCACCAAGGCGACGACGGGUAGCCGGCCUGAGAGGGUGCCCGGCCACACUGGGACUGAGACACGGCCCAGACUCCGACGGGAGGCAGCAGUGGGGAAUAUUGCACAAUGGGCGCAAGCCUGAUGCAGCAACGCCGCGUGAGGGACGACGGCCUUCGGGUUGUAAACCUCUUUUAGUAGGGAAGAAGCGAAAGUGACGGUACCUGCAGAAAAAGCACCGGCUAACUACGUGCCAGCCGCCGCCGUAACAC
rnacentral:rRNA from 1 species